GGUUAAGCGACUAAGCGUACACGGUGGAUGCCCUGGCAGUCAGAGGCGAUGAAGGACGUGCUAAUCUGCGAAAAGCGUCGGUAAGGUGAUAUGAACCGUUAUAACCGGCGAUGUCCGAAUGGGGAAACCCAGUGCAAUUCGUUGCACUAUCGUUAACUGAAUACAUAGGUUAACGAGGCGAACCGGGGGAACUGAAACAUCUAAGUACCCCGAGGAAAAGAAAUCAACCGAGAUUCCCCCAGUAGCGGCGAGCGAACGGGGAGCAGCCCAGAGUCUGAAUCAGCUUGUGUGUUAGUGGAACGGUCUGGAAAGUCCGACGGUACAGGGUGAUAGUCCCGUACACCAAAAUGCACAGGUUGUGAACUCGAAGAGUAGGGCGGGACACGUGGUAUCCUGUCUGAAUAUGGGGGGACCAUCCUCCAAGGCUAAAUACUCCUGACUGACCGAUAGUGAACCAGUACCGUGAGGGAAAGGCGAAAAGAACCCCGGCGAGGGGAGUGAAAAAGAACCUGAAACCGUGUACGUACAAGCAGUGGGAGCACCUUCGGGUGUGACUGCGUACCUUUUGUAUAAUGGGUCAGCGACUUAUAUUCUGUAGCAAGGUUAACCGUAUAGGGGAGCCGCAGGGAAACCGAGUCUUAACUGGGCGUUAAGUUGCAGGGUAUAGACCCGAAACCCGGUGAUCUAGCCAUGGGCAGGUUGAAGGUUGGGUAACACUAACUGGAGGACCGAACCGACUAAUGUUGAAAAAUUAGCGGAUGACUUGUGGCUGGGGGUGAAAGGCCAAUCAAACCGGGAGAUAGCUGGUUCUCCCCGAAAGCUAUUUAGGUAGCGCCUCGUGAACUCAUCUUCGGGGGUAGAGCACUGUUUCGGCUAGGGGGUCAUCCCGACUUACCAACCCGAUGCAAACUACGAAUACCGAAGAAUGUUAUCACGGGAGACACACGGCGGGUGCUAACGUCCGUCGUGAAGAGGGAAACAACCCAGACCGCCAGCUAAGGUCCCAAAGUCAUGGUUAAGUGGGAAACGAUGUGGGAAGGCACAGACAGCCAGGAUGUUGGCUUAGAAGCAGCCAUCAUUUAAAGAAAGCGUAAUAGCUCACUGGUCGAGUCGGCCUGCGCGGAAGAUGUAACGGGGCUAAACCAUGCACCGAAGCUGCGGCAGCGACACUAUGUGUUGUUGGGUAGGGGAGCGUUCUGUAAGCCUGCGAAGGUGUGCUGUGAGGCAUGCUGGAGGUAUCAGAAGUGCGAAUGCUGACAUAAGUAACGAUAAAGCGGGUGAAAAGCCCGCUCGCCGGAAGACCAAGGGUUCCUGUCCAACGUUAAUCGGGGCAGGGUGAGUCGACCCCUAAGGCGAGGCCGAAAGGCGUAGUCGAUGGGAAACAGGUUAAUAUUCCUGUACUUGGUGUUACUGCGAAGGGGGGACGGAGAAGGCUAUGUUAGCCGGGCGACGGUUGUCCCGGUUUAAGCAUGUAGGCUGGUUGUCCAGGCAAAUCCGGAUAAUCAAGGCUGAGGUGUGAUGACGAGGCACUACGGUGCUGAAGUAACAAAUGCCCUGCUUCCAGGAAAAGCCUCUAAGCAUCAGGUAACAUCAAAUCGUACCCCAAACCGACACAGGUGGUCAGGUAGAGAAUACCAAGGCGCUUGAGAGAACUCGGGUGAAGGAACUAGGCAAAAUGGUGCCGUAACUUCGGGAGAAGGCACGCUGGUGUGUAGGUGAAGUCCCUGCGGAUGGAGCUGAGACCAGUCGAAGAUACCAGCUGGCUGCAACUGUUUAUUAAAAACACAGCACUGUGCAAACACGAAAGUGGACGUAUACGGUGUGACGCCUGCCCGGUGCCGGAAGGUUAAUUGAUGGGGUUAUCCGUAAGGAGAAGCUCUUGAUCGAAGCCCCGGUAAACGGCGGCCGUAACUAUAACGGUCCUAAGGUAGCGAAAUUCCUUGUCGGGUAAGUUCCGACCUGCACGAAUGGCGUAAUGAUGGCCAGGCUGUCUCCACCCGAGACUCAGUGAAAUUGAACUCGCUGUGAAGAUGCAGUGUACCCGCGGCAAGACGGAAAGACCCCGUGAACCUUUACUAUAGCUUGACACUGAACAUUGAGCCUUGAUGUGUAGGAUAGGUGGGAGGCUUUGAAGCGUGGACGCCAGUCUGCGUGGAGCCAACCUUGAAAUACCACCCUUUAAUGUUUGAUGUUCUAACGUUGGCCCCUUACCGGGGUUGCGGACAGUGUCUGGUGGGUAGUUUGACUGGGGCGGUCUCCUCCCAAAGCGUAACGGAGGAGCACGAAGGUUAGCUAAUCCUGGUCGGACAUCAGGAGGUUAGUGCAAUGGCAUAAGCUAGCUUGACUGCGAGCGUGACGGCGCGAGCAGGUGCGAAAGCAGGUCAUAGUGAUCCGGUGGUUCUGAAUGGAAGGGCCAUCGCUCAACGGAUAAAAGGUACUCCGGGGAUAACAGGCUGAUACCGCCCAAGAGUUCAUAUCGACGGCGGUGUUUGGCACCUCGAUGUCGGCUCAUCACAUCCUGGGGCUGAAGUAGGUCCCAAGGGUAUGGCUGUUCGCCAUUUAAAGUGGUACGCGAGCUGGGUUUAGAACGUCGUGAGACAGUUCGGUCCCUAUCUGCCGUGGGCGCUGGAGAAUUGAGGGGGGCUGCUCCUAGUACGAGAGGACCGGAGUGGACGCAUCACUGGUGUUCGGGUUGUCAUGCCAAUGGCACUGCCCGGUAGCUAAAUGCGGAAGAGAUAAGUGCUGAAAGCAUCUAAGCACGAAACUUGCCCCGAGAUGAGUUCUCCCUGAGACUUUAAGUCUCCUGAAGGAACGUUAAAGACGAUGACGUUGAUAGGCCGGGUGUGUAAGCGCAGCGAUGCGUUGAGCUAACCGGUACUAAUGAACCGUGAGGCUUAACCUU
rnacentral:rRNA from 1 species